rnacentral:rRNA from 1 species
UACGGGGGGGGCAAGCGUUGUUCGGAAUUACUGGGCGUAAAGGGCUCGUAGGCGGCCAACUAAGUCGGACGUGAAAUCCCUCGGCUCAACCGGGGAACUGCGUCCGAUACUGGAUGGCUUGAGUUCGGGAGAGGGAUGCGGAAUUCCAGGUGUAGCGGUGAAAUGCGUAGAUAUCUGGAGGAACACCGGUGGCGAAGGCGGCAUCCUGGACCGAUACUGAUGCUGAGGAGCGAAAGCCAGGGGAGCAAACGGG